rnacentral:rRNA from 1 species
CCUACGGGAGGCAGCAGUCGAGAAUUUUUCACAAUGGGCGAAAGCCUGAUGGAGCGACGCCGCGUGGAGGAUGAAGGCCUUCGGGUUGUAAACUCCUGUCACUACAGAACAAAACUUCUGGGAUAACAUUCCAGAAGCUUGAUAGUAUGUGGAGAGGAAGGGACGGCUAACUCUGUGCCAGCAGCCGCGGUAAU